rnacentral:rRNA from 1 species
UACGUAGGGGGCGAGCGUUAUCCGGAAUUACUGGGUGUAAAGGGUGCGUAGGCGGCACUUUAAGUCAGUUGUGAAACCCACAGGCUCAACUUGUGGCUUGCAAUUGAAACUGGAGAGCUAGAGUGCAGGAGAGGAAAGCGGAAUUCCUAGUGUAGCGGUGAAAUGCGUAGAUAUUAGGAAGAACACCGGUGGCGAAGGCGGCUUUCUGGACUGCAACUGACGCUGAGGCACGAAAGCGUGGGGAGCAAACAGG